rnacentral:rRNA from 1 species
CCCUUAGAUGUUCUGGGCAGCACGCGCGCUACAAUGGUCUUCGCAAACGGAUGCAUUCUCGAAGGAGAAUGCCAAUCUUGGAAUCUAUGCCUUGGUCGGGACAGUUGCUUGCAAUUUUUCGACUCGAACCAGGAAUUCCUUGUAAUCGUGAUUCAUCACAUCACGAUGAAUACGUCCCUGCCCUUUGUACACACCGCCCGUCGCUCCUACCGAUCGAAGAGUUAGGUGAAUUGUUUUGAUCGAUAAGAUUUGACUAUGGUCAACUCUCGUUGUGAAAUUCUGUGAAUCUGACUGUUUAGAGGAAGGAAAAGUCGUAUCA